AGAGUUUGAUCCUGGCUCAGGAUGAACGCUGGCGGCGUGCUUAACACAUGCAAGUCGAACGGACCUUCGGGUCAGUGGCGGACGGGUGAGUAACACGUAGCUAACCUGCCCUCAAGUGCGGGAUAACGGUGCGAAAGCGCUGCUAAUACCGCAUAAGCUCCCGUCCUGUAGAGGGAUGCGAGAAAAGCGUAUACGCGUGAGGAGGGGGCUGCGGCCCAUCAGGGAGUUGGUGUGGUAACGGCAUACCAAGGCGACGAUCUGUAGCUGGUCUGAGAGGAUGACCAGCCACACUGGAACUGAGACACGGUCCAGACUCCUACGGGAGGCAGCAGUGGGGAAUUUUCCGCAAUGGGCGCAAGCCUGACGGAGCAAGAUCGCGUGGGGGACGACGGCCUUCGGGUUGUAAACCCCUUUUGCGGGGGACGAAACUGACGGUACCCCGCGAAGAAGCCUCGGCUAACUCCGUGCCAGCCGCCGCGGUAAUAC
rnacentral:rRNA from 1 species